rnacentral:rRNA from 1 species
AGUGAACGCUGGCGGUAGGCCUAACACAUGCAAGUCGAACGGCAGCACAGUAAGAGCUUGCUCUUACGGGUGGCGAGUGGCGUACGGGUGAGGAAUACAUCGGAAUCUACUUUUUCGUGGGGGAUAACGUAGGGAAACUUACGCUAAUACCGCAUACGACCUACGGGUGAAAGCAGGGGAUCUUCGGACCUUGCGCGAUUGAAUGAGCCGAUGUCGGAUUAGCUAGUUGGCGGGGUAAAGGCCCACCAAGGCGACGAUCCGUAGCUGGUCUGAGAGGAUGAUCAGCCACACUGGAACUGAGACACGGUCCAGACUCCUACGGGAGGCAGCAGUGGGGAAUAUUGGACAAUGGGCGCAAGCAUGAUCCAGCCAUACCGCGUGGGUGAAGAAGGCCUUCGGGUUGUAAAGCCCUUUUGUUGGGAAAGAAAAGCAGCAGGUUAAUACCCCGCUGUUCUGACGGUACCCAAAGAAUAAGCACCGGCUAACUUCGUG